UACGUAGGGUGCGAGCGUUGUCCGGAAUUAUUGGGCGUAAAGGGCUCGUAGGCGGUUUGUCGCGUCGGGAGUGAAAACCUCGGGCUUAACUCGGGGCUUGCUUUCGAUACGGGCAGACUAGAGGUAUGCAGGGGGAGAACGGAAUUCCUGGUGUAGCGGUGAAAUGCGCAGAUAUCAGGAGGAACACCGGUGGCGAAGGCGGUUCUCUGGGCAUGAUCUGACGCUGAGGAGCGAAAGUGUGGGGAGCGAACAGG
rnacentral:rRNA from 1 species